rnacentral:rRNA from 1 species
GACGAACGCUGGCGGCGUGCUUAACACAUGCAAGUCGAACGGUGAAGCGCCUUCCUUUUUGGUGGGUGUGGAUGAGUGGCGAACGGGUGAGUAACACGUGAGUAACCUGCCCCCUUCUUCUGGAUAACCGCAUGAAAGUGUGGCUAAUACGGGAUAUUCUGGGUCUGUCGCAUGAUGGGUCUGGGAAAGAUAUUGUUUCGGUGGGGGAUGGGCUCGCGGCCUAUCAGCUUGUUGGUGGGGUGAUGGCCUACCAGGGCGGUGACGGGUAGCCGGCCUGGGAGGGUGGACGGUCACACUGGGACUGAGACACGGCCCAGACUCCUACGGGAGGCAGCAGUGGGGAAUAUUGCACGAUGGGCGCAAGACUGAUGCAGCGACGCCGCGUGAGGGAUGGAGGCCUUCGGGUUGUGAACCUCUUUCGCCAGUGAAGCAGGCCUGCCUCGUUUGUGGGUGGGUUGACGGUAGCUGGAUAAGAAGCGCCGGCUAACUACGUG